rnacentral:rRNA from 1 species
UACAGAGGUCUCAAGCGUUGUUCGGAUUCACUGGGCGUAAAGGGUGCGUAGGUGGUGAGGAAAGUCGGAUGUGAAAUCUCCAAGCUCAACUUGGAAGUGGCAUUGGAAACUACCUUGCUGGAGGUUUGGAGGGGGGACUGGAAUACUUGGUGUAGCAGUGAAAUGCGUAGAUAUCAAGUGGAACACCAGUGGCGAAGGCGAGUCCCUGGACAACACCUGACACUGAGGCACGAAAGCUAGGGGAGCAAACAGG